GUCAGGUUAGAAGUCCUGCGGGGCGUAUCGCAGCGGAUUGCAAAUCCGUGCACACCGGUUCGAUUCCGGUACUCGCCUCCA
rnacentral:tRNA from 1 species